rnacentral:lncRNA from 1 species
ACACAACAAACAUAUUAUCAUGCAUAACAUACCCACACUCAUUAGAUUGUUAUACCUUGGCCCAAACAGUCAUCGGACUGGAAUGCCAACAUGCAACAGGUCCAAUCAGUCAUCGGACUGGAAUACCGAGGGUUUGUUGGCAUGAUGCCUUAAUCCAAUCGCUCUUCUCGAGUCUUCGUACCUACAGCUUAUAGCUGUCCCGCACCAGGUAUCUUGGUCUAUAACAUAUAGCAGGACCAACUGAAACUAUCCCACCACCAUAUGGCUAUCCUACAUAAGAUGUCGCGAGAAAAACCUAAAGAAAUCAUUUAUAAGUAUUGAAUGAAUAAAAAAACAAAAAUGACUUAUUUUACAAUAAAAAAAUAUUAAGGAUUAAAUAUGUACAAAAAUAUUAAGGACUAAAUGUGUACAAAGUGAUAAAUAUAUUACCCUAUUAAGUUAUUUUUACCGGAUAACCUGGAGUAGCCGGUCAUAAUGACUAAAUGUGUACAAUUUAACAAGUUUAAGGAGGUAAAUGUGGACGAAAAAAAAAUUCAGUGACUAAAUAUGUACAAAUCGAAAAAUAUAUUACUUUUUAAGUCAUUAUCCCGUAAAAAGUUUUAACAAUCUCUCUACUCCGAUCACAUACAUAUUAAAAAAAAAUGAAACUUAAAUUUCUAUAAGAAUACAUUAUUUGCAAAUAUAUUGUCAUCAUCUUCGUUUGUGUUAGACAUCAUCUUCAUCAUGAAUAUUGUCAUCAUCUCUGUCUUAGAUGAUGAAUAUUAGCAUAGUCUUGGUCAUGGAUAUUAAAAUUUGUCUUCAUUUUGGAAAACUUUUGUCAUUGGCAUUCUUCGGGAUAUUGUCUUCAUCUUUCUUUAAUAUCUCAUCUUCGAACUUCUCAAUUUCACGCUCAAAUGAUACAACGUGGUGUAUCUGUUUCACCCCAUUUAAGUAAUCUUCUAAAUAAAAUGCACACCUCCAUCAAUUGUAUUGUAAUUCUUGUUACAAUAGCCAAAAAAUGGAUUAUGAAGCUAACAUACAAGCUUGGACAGGUAGUAGAUCACGAUCCAUUACAUCCAAAAUCAUAAAUUGUUUUUAAGCUUCUUUUUAUCGUGCCAAAAUAUAUAAAUAUUUGCAUUAUUCAAUAGUCAUAAACUGUAUAAAAUUUGAUCAAAUGCACAUUUCCUAAUUCACGAAUGUGGUAUUUGUUUGUGCCUAUUUACAAGCUUUUUUAUGAGGUUAUUAUAAAUUUGUAGUGAAAUAUUUGACGAUGUACAAAUAGUUAAUGCUUCUUUAUCCUUCCCCAUAAGGUUGUGUACUCACAAAGUGGCUCUAUAUUUGUCAUGCUAAGCGUCAAAUAAGCUUAUAUUAUAAACAUAUAGAGUUCUAUAUUUUUCAAGAUAAACUUCAAAUAACAUAUUAACAAAAUUUAUUCUGGUCGACGCAAAUGAGGAUUCUUUGUAAUUUUGGGCUACGACAUUAACUAUAUUAUUUCCACAAACAUUUAUAGUUGGAUUUGAGGCGACAACAUAAAUACAAGAAAUUAAAUAUCCUUUACUUUUAUUACUACAAAUCAUCUUACCAAAUUAAAUGAUGAUAUAUGUCAUAUUGAUAUAUUAAAAUAUCAUUAAAUUUUAUUAAAUGAACAUUAAAUAUUACAUAUGUCAGUAUUUAAUUGGAUAUAAGGAUUUAUAGGAAAAAAAUGGAGGAUAUUUAGUUGAGACAUAAGUGGUUAUUUAGGAGUAGAUUAGUUAGUUUGUCGUUAAAAAAAAAUUUAGUUUCUCAUAAAUACAUUAGGCAAGUUCCUAAAAUAUUUUGCAAAUCUAAUUUUCAUUAGUUAUGUCAAAUUGGUUCAUAUAUUUUCUUUGAUAUUUCUCUUGUAAUAUUUCCUCCAUAUAUAUGUAUGGCCUUAGGACCAUUUAUGUAAAUUACGUAGUCGGUACUCUAUAUAUUUUUAGUGAUAUAUGAUGUAUCUAUCUAUGCCAAUAUGAUAUAAUUGGUACCCCAUAUAUUUUUUUUGAAACGACAAAUAAACAAAAUACACCUAAAUUAUUUCACCUAUGUCCAUUGCGAGACUGGAACCCUUAACCUCAAGAAGACAGGGCAACACCGGAUACCGCUGGGCUAUAAAAUAAAUAAAUCCCCAACAACACCAAUAUAAAUCUUCUGUGUAAAUCUCCAUCAAAUUGGGACAUCAUAACGAGAUUCAUGUCUUUAUCUCCUACACCAAACAUCAAGAUUGAUUAUCCAAAUACAUCUAAAUUUUCUGUGUUUGAAUUGAUAUUAAAAUGAAUGAGACAUAACUAAUUUCUAGAAAUUAACCAACAAUUUCAUAUCAUUUAAAUUUAUUAAUCCUUAAAUAAAUAUGAGUAAGUAUUAAACUACUAGUACUAUAAUAAGCAUAAGAUAAAUGUAUUGAUGUAUGUUCACAAACUUCUAACAUAUCAUACAUAAAUUCAGUCCUCAAGCAUUCUCCCUUCAUAAUCACUCAAUUUACCCCUUCACUGCCUCCCUACUAGCUCGUAAAUGUUGGGGGUAUGUAGGGUGAUGACGGAGAACCAAAUUUCUCUUGGAUCGUGUAAGUUCACUUUUCGAACUGAUAUUUCUAUCCUAUGCCUGAGUUACUAGAAAUCAUGUCUAGGAUAAUCCAAAACGACACUUGUGUAUCUAGGCACAGAAACACAAGUUAAAUCGCCAAAGGGUUUUGAGUUUGUAUAGAAUAAGAAGAGUUGAGAAGGGUUCUUUUACGGCUCAAUUAAAGAGUCGUAUUUAUAUUAGACAUAUACGGUUUCUUGUCUUCUAAAUUAGUUAGGAGAAUCACAUAAUUAAUGGCACGAUCAAUGGUUUCCAAAAUUGAUAAGAUUUAUCAGUUUUACCAUAAUCACCCACUAGAAUUUGGAUUUUCCAUAAAGUAACUAAUUUAAAUUUCCGAAGACCUUUUGGGGCGCUACCCCAAACCCCACGAGGGCACUGCCCCUCGACCCCACCUGCCACCACCAGGGUCUCUACUCCUUGGACUCCGCUAAGGGCGCUGCCCCAUUGCCCCAGCCAUUCUGCCAUACCCGCUUAUAAUUCGAUCAUAUAUAUGCCUCCACUCCUCAUUUACAUAACAUAUAAUAUAAAGUACAAAUGAUAAGCCCCUUAGCUCACAUUUCAGUUCUAAUUACAUAAAAUGCUCGGUGACUCUAAAAUUACCAACAAUAAAUGCUUAAAUGUAUUUUUUGCCUUUAACAAACUUUCAAGCAUAAAAAAUAGUCUGAUUUCACUUAGUAGGAACUUCAAAAUUUUGACUAGGCUUGAGCAUUGACAUCCCAACAAAACUUCAAAUACCCGACAGAUUUUUGCAAAAAUAACUUUUAUAGAUCCAUAAUUUUGUAAUAGUAUCAUUCAUUAUCCAAGUUUGGCUUACACCAAUACAUUUAAAUUGUUAGUAAUACAGUGAGUAUUGAAAAAUUCACCUCUUAGGUUGGAGGGGGAGGGGGGUUUGGUGUUGAUCUCACCGAGCUACCAAGGAUGGAGAAAACUUUUUCCAUGGCUAGGGAGUGGGGAAGAAGAGAAGAAAAAGAAGAAGAAGAAGAACUGAGCUACCAAGGAUGGAUAAAUUUUCUUUCCGGGGAGUGGGGAAGAAGAAGAAGAUAGUAAGGAGAGAGAGAGUCAACAACAUCUUAUCUAUAAGGGGAGAGAAUGGUGUUUGCCGAGCUAGCUUAGCGGCUGUCGAGCUCGAGGCUACUCCCUAGCCUUAUCAUAGGUUUAUAAGUCAAAUUAGUUUUCUUAUCACAUACGCAUGAUUAGACAAG